rnacentral:rRNA from 1 species
GUGGGGAAUAUUGGACAAUGGGGGGAACCCUGAUCCAGCCAUGCCGCGUGUGUGAAGAAGGCCUUUUGGUUGUAAAGCACUUUAAGCGAGGAGGAGGCUACCGAGAUUAAUACUCUUGGAUAGUGGACGUUACUCGCAGAAUAAGCACCGGCUAACUCUGUGCCAGCAGCCGCGGUAAUACAGAGGGUGCAAGCGUUAAUCGGAUUUACUGGGCGUAAAGCGCGCGUAGGUGGCCAAUUAAGUCAAAUGUGAAAUCCCCGAGCUUAACUUGGGAAUUGCAUUCGAUACUGGUUGGCUAGAGUAUGGGAGAGGAUGGUAGAAUUCCAGGUGUAGCGGUGAAAUGCGUAGAGAUCUGGAGGAAUACCGAUGGCGAAGGCAGCCAUCUGGCCUAAUACUGACGCUCAGGCACGAAAGCGUGGGGAGCAAACAGGAUUAGAUACCCCUGUAGUCC